UUUUAGGAAGUUUUGGAAUUUUAUCCCCAGGAUAAACUUACAAGGAAUAUGCAGGAACGGUUAAAUGAUCCCUAUGAUUUUAGAGACGAUAGUUCAACAGACAGGCAUAUUGAGAAUACAAUAUAUUGUGAAUCUGAGGACACAGAUUCAAGUAUUCUACAAACCAAUGAGAGAAGAGAUGAAGAUUACAAUAACUACACAACUCUACCUGUUCAGUACAAACUAGAUGAAACUACACAAACACCAAACCAUCUUUU